UACGUAGGGGGGCGAGCGUUGUCCGGAGUUACUGGGCGUAAAGGGCGCGCAGGCGGUCUGGUAAGUUUGGAGUGACAGUGCUCGGCUUAACUGAGCAAGGCCUUCGAAAAACUGUCAGACUUGAGCACUCAAGAGGGACAUAGAAUUCCGGGUGGAGUGGUGAAAUGCGUAGAUAUCCGGAGGAAUACCAAAGGCGAAGGCAGUGUCCUGGGGAGUGUCUGACGCUGCAGGCGCGAAAGCUAGGGGAGCGAACAGG
rnacentral:rRNA from 1 species